UACAGAGGUCUCAAGCGUUGUUCGGAUUCAUUGGGCGUAAAGGGUGCGUAGGUGGCGCCGUAAGUCAGGUGUGAAAUCUCGGGGCUCAACCCCGAAACUGCACUUGAUACUGUGGUGCUCGAGUACUGGAGAGGAGAUUGGAAUUUACGGUGUAGCAGUGAAAUGCGUAGAUAUCGUAAGGAAGACCAGUGGCGAAGGCGAAUCUCUGGACAGUUACUGACACUGAGGCACGAAGGCCAGGGGAGCAAACGGG
rnacentral:rRNA from 1 species